rnacentral:rRNA from 1 species
GAUGAACGCUGGCGGCGUGCCUAAUACAUGCAAGUCGAGCGAACGGACGAGAAGCUUGCUUCUCUGAUGUUAGCGGCGGACGGGUGAGUAACACGUGGAUAACCUACCUCUAAGACUGGGAUAACUUCGGGAAACCGGAGCUAAUACCGGAUGAUAUUUUGAACCGCAUGGUUCAAAAGUGAAAGACUGUCUUGCUGUCACUUAUAGAUGGAUCCGUGCUGCAUUAGCUAGUUGGUAAGGUAACGGCUUACCAAGGCAACGAUGCAUAGCCGACCUGAGAGGGUGAUCGGCCACACUGGAACUGAGACACGGUCCAGACUCCUACGGGAGGCAGCAGUAGGGAAUCUUCCGCAAUGGGCGAAAGCCUGACGGAGCAACGCCGCGUGAGUGAUGAAGGUCUUCGGAUCGUAAAACUCUGUUAUUAGGGAAGAACAUAUGUGUAAGUAAAUGUGCACAUCUUGACGGUACCUAAACAGAAAGCCACGGCUAACUACGUG